GAUGAACGCUGGCGGCGUGCCUAAUACAUGCAAGUCGAGCGAACAGACGAGGAGCUUGCUCCUCUGACGUUAGCGGCGGACGGGUGAGUAACACGUGGAUAACCUACCUAUAAGACUGGGAUAACUUCGGGAAACCGGAGCUAAUACCGGAUAAUAUAUUGAACCGCAUGGUUCAAUAGUGAAAGACGGUUUUGCUGUCACUUAUAGAUGGAUCCGCGCCGCAUUAGCUAGUUGGUAAGGUAACGGCUUACCAAGGCAACGAUGCGUAGCCGACCUGAGAGGGCGAUCGGCCACACUGGAACUGAGACACGGUCCAGACUCCUACGGGAGGCAGCAGUAGGGAAUCUUCCGCAAUGGGCGAAAGCCUGACGGAGCAACACCGCGUGAGUGAUGAAGGUCUUCGGAUCGUAAAACUCUGUUAUUAGGGAAGAACAAAUGUGUAAGUAACUAUGCACGUCUUGACGGUACCUAAUCAGAAAGCCACGGCUAACUACGUG
rnacentral:rRNA from 1 species